GGGUCAUUAUGAUGAUUGUAAUAGAGAUUAUACAGGAGUAUAAUCAUAGGGCAUACCUUUAUGACUUUUGACUAUUGUAAAAAAAAAAAGAUACAUUUUUAUGUACACAUUCUACUUCUCUUGGCCUACAAUAAAGAUACAGACUUUUAGUUUUAAUUUACAUUGAGUGAAAUAUACAAAUAUAUCUCUAAAGCUUUAUGAGUGAGAAGACUAGGGAGGAGGAAAUUGUGUGUGUGUGUGCCUACAUUAAGUAGGAAAGGCCAUUAUUGGAACAUAAGAAAUGAUCUGUCCGAUUGGUUCUCCCACCGCCUCCCGGCGGGUCUCGACAGCUCCAGCGGCGGGAGGAGCGGUAGCGGUUUGGCAGCCCAGCUUCGCGAAGGCUCUCCGUGCCGCUGCCUGCAGGCACCCGGUUCGCGUCCUGCCCCUGCCAAGAUGCCCAUGAGGGAGGUCAGCUCCGCCGAGGGGGCGGUGAAGGAGGAGCCCAAGAGGAGAUUGGCGCAGUUGUCGGCUAAACCUGCUCCUGCAAAAGUGGAAGCAAAGCCAAAAAAGGCGUCGGGAAAGGAUAAAUCUUCAGACAAAAAAGUGCAAGCAAAAGGGAAAAGGGGAGUGAAGGGAAAGCAGGCUGAAGUGGCUAACCAAAAAACUAAAGAAGAGUUACCUGCAGAAAAUGGAGAAACUAAAACAGGAGAACCCAGCCUCUGAUGAAGCAGGAGAAAAAGAAGCCUGAAUAAUGUCAUAUCCCAUGUCUUAUCAGUGGUCCCUGUCUCCCUUCUUGUACAAUCCAGAGGAAUAUUUUUAUCAACUAUUUUGUAAAUGCGAGUUUUUUAGUAGCUCUAGAAACAUUUUUAAGAAGGAGGGAAUCCCACCUCAUCCCAUUUUUAAAGUGUAAAUGCUUUUUUUUAAGAGGUGAUAUCAUUCACUGGUUGUUUAUUUUUUGGUACAACCAGAAAAUAGUGUGGGAUAUUGAAUUACAAGAGGCUUUGACUGUCUUGAGUAUCAGCUUAACAUUCCAUAGAUGGGGGUUAGUUUUUAUAUCCUGUAAUGCAAAGUAUACUAAGUGGCAAUAUGGAUCACAGUCCUGCAUUUAAUGUCUUGAACAUUUAAAAUUACUUCUAUUCCCAUGUUGUUUUUUAGUAGAAUUUGUCAGUGACCAGCACUGACCAAGGGUGUUAGGACCCGCACCGGAGAAUCAGGAGACGGCGAGAAGACCACUC